rnacentral:lncRNA from 10 species
AGAGUUGGCGCGCCAGGGCGUGGAAGCCGCCGGAGGAUCCCGCCUGUCGCAGCGGGGACGCGUGUGGGCCCCUGCUCCCAGGCCACUUCGCGCGCGCGCCCCCCACAUCCUCCUCGGGACACUUGUCCCUGGAUCCUCUACCCCUGGCCGGCCCGAGGCCGCCUUCUCGGGAAGCCCCACCAGCCCCCAAGGGUGUUUUCCCUUGGCUACCUGCGCUGCGAGGAGAGAAGGGAAUUCAGAGAAGGGGUACAAGGGGGGCGUCCCUGGGAGGGGGCGCGACUGGAGGAGACAGAACGGGGAGCGGGUGCCAAAGCGCGGGCCUUUGCUCCGCCUGGGCGCAGUGGGAGCACCAACUGGCAGAGUUGGAAACUUUUCCUCCACGUGGCACCACAGUGCGUGGACGAGCGACCCCGCGCCCGGAUGACCCCUGGGAUUCCCGCCUCGUCUUCCAGCGGGGGACCUAGGGACGCACGGGCGGCUUCAGAUCCGGGAGCGCGAGGCCUAACAGCCGGGGGCCGAACUUGAACCUCGGAGGCGGCCGCGGGCGAGGGGCGGGGCCGAAGGGGCCGGGACCGCCGCCCCAGCUCGAGGACCCGUUAGACCGGCAAACCGCAGUCCCUGCCCCGCGGGCUUCCUUUACUUUUUGGGAGUGGGGGGCGGUUUCCCUGCUUUUUCCACCACAGCCCCUCCUCCCGCCGCAAUGUGGCUGAUGCUCAUAAAAAGUUGUAUUAAAGAGCUGACUGCAGCCGAGAAUCGAUCAACAAAAGCGACCAGCCUCUCUGGGUAAAAUAGCUGUGCGUUUUUCAGGGCACUGGAAUUGAUCUAUACGGAUCAGAAAGACCGACAGCCCGCUCUCAGCAGCCUCUUGGAUACGCUUCACUUUCUGUCCAGGCACAUAAACACCACGGCACCAACCCUUCGUCCUCCCUAGUAGCCCAUACUUGUGGAGGAAGAAAAGGAAAAUAAACUGGCAUGUAUUAAUUACAAUGGGCCAGGCACCGUGCUAGAGCGCUGUGUAUAUGAUUUCACCUCUUUAGAAUACAAAUGUGCACAUUUUAUUAGUAUUACUGGAAGGAGGGUGGUAGAGAAAACAGUAAGGACGUGUUUUCUCUCACAAUCUGACACAUCUAUGAUUGAGUGAUUGAUUGUUUUUCAUUUAACAAUUAUUAGGCCUUACCAGGCUUAGCAGGCACAGUUGUAGGUGCUGGGAAUACAGCGUUGUACAAAACAGAAAAGAUACUGCUUCUUGACGUUCUAGCAGGUCUAUCCACGGCCUUCUCAACAGAUGACUUCAAGUUGAUUUCGUGCUUUAUUUCUUAAGAAUAGUGACUAACCUAAGGGAUCUGAUUCAAUUUAUUAGGAACACAGUGCCACCUUCCAAAAUUACUUACCUAAGAGGACUGAGCCUGCUGUCCCUGGAGCAGUUAGCUAAAACAGUGCCUCAGUACGGAGCGUACCUGUGUUAACUUCUAGAGUGCUGUUUCCGGCAGCUGCUGAAAUCCACGCUGAGGUUAUCAAGCUCAUCCUACAAAAUAAAGCAAGUUCUUCGCAAUUUAAAGCAAAAAUCUGGGCUUAUUUUUAGGGUUUUGGGGGAUGUGAAAGUUGUCUUAGAUAAGAUUCCAGGAAAGCUAAGAACUAACGAUGCAAUUACAGUCACCUUUCAACAACUUUGGGGAUUGGGUUGAGGAAGGUGUGAAAUUGGGAAAUAUAAUAAAAGGUAUUAUAUUAGUGACUUUCUAGAGUAGCCCUUGGCAGUCCUGUCUUUAAAGAGUAAUAACUGGAAAAAAAAAUGAAUGAUAAUACACUGCAUCCAAGAACCUUGCCUCUGGUGAGGGUAAUUUGCAAACGCAUUUUGGGAUAAUGUUCAGCAUUCAAUAUAAUCUUCCCUGGAAUUAGCAAUGCCUUUUGGGUCAGAGUUUCUUAGGUUUCUUCAGUCAUACAAUUAAAAUUGUUUCUGGAUUAUAUUGCCCAUAUUUGUUUCUAAUUCUCCAUUUUGCCUGUGUUUUAACUGCUAGCGAUUAAUAACUGCCAUAUAAUAAGCUAAGCAUUUAUUAUGUUUCAGGCACUGUUCUAACUGCAUUAAAAUAAUAUCUCAUUUAAUUCUCAUAAAUUUUGAGAAAAGUUUUAUUAUUCCUAUUUUACAGUUGAGUAAACUGAGGCUUAAAGUUAAGCAUAUUGUCCAAGGUGCCUCCACUCCUUAGUCAUAAGCUAAAUUUGAUCUGAGUGACUCCAAAACCUGUUCUCUUAAUGGUUAUGCUGAAAUGCCCUUCUUAGAAUGAUUCCUCAGGAAGUCAAAUGCUAGGUAUAUAGUACAACCACUUUGGAAAACUGGCAAUAUCUGUUAAAGUUAAACAUAUGAAAACCCUAUGGCCCAGCAGUUCCACGCUUAGGAAUAUACCAAUGUCCCAUGUGUGCCAAAAGACUAUUAAAUCACUCAGAGCAACCCUAUUCAUAAAUAACCCCCAACCAGGAAACAACCCAAAUGGUCAUAAACAGUAAAAUAGAUAAAUAAUUGGUGGUAUAUUCAUACAACAGAGUACAUUCUACCACACUAAGAAUGAACAAUCUGCUUCCAAAUGCAGUAAAAUAUAUGAACCUUACAAAUGUGCUAAGUGAAAAAAGGGAGAUGUACAAUUGCGGGACUCCAUUUAUGUGAAGUACAGAAACAGACAAAAGUCAUUGAUGCUAUUCAAAGUCAGGAUAGUGGUUACCCUUGAGAGAGAGCUGAUGACUAGGAGAGAACACCAAUCGGCUUCUGGGGAGCUGGUAGUGUUGUUUCUUGAGCUGGGUACUGGUGUGUUCAGUUUGUGAAAAUUCAUUGAGCUGUACUAUUGAUAUAUGCAUCUCUGUGUAUGUAAAUUAUGCUUCAAUAAAAAGCUUUAAAAUGCUGUGUAUAUAUAAAUGCAUAUGAGUAUUGCUUGUGUACAUAUGAGUACCUAUAUAAUACUUCGUUUUUU